UACGUAGGGUGCGAGCGUUGUCCGGAAUUAUUGGGCGUAAAGAGCUUGUAGGCGGUUUGUCGCGUCUGCCGUGAAAAUCCGGGGCUCAACCCCGGACUUGCGGUGGGUACGGGCAGACUAGAGUGUGGUAGGGGAGACUGGAAUUCCUGGUGUAGCGGUGAAAUGCGCAGAUAUCAGGAGGAACACCGGUGGCGAAGGCGGGACUCUGGGCCGAUACUAACGCUGAGGAGCGAAAGCGUGGGGAGCAAACAGG
rnacentral:rRNA from 1 species